GGCAGUGUCUCUUCGGAGCAGGGAGACAGGUGGUGCAUGGUUGUCGUCAGCUCGUGUCGUGAGAUGUUGGGUUAAGUCCCGCAACGAGCGCAACCCUUAUCCUUAGUUACCAGCACGUAAAGGUGGGGACUCUAGGGAGACCGCCGGGGACGACUCGGAGGAAGGUGGGGACGACGUCAAAUCAUCAUGCCCCUUAUGUCUUGGGCUACACACGUGCUACAAUGGCCGCAACAGAGGGAAGCGAGAGCGCAAGCUGGAGCAAAACCCUAAAAAGCGGUCCCAGUUCGGAUUGUGGGCUGCAACCCGCCCACAUGAAGUCGGAGUUGCUAGUAAUCGCGAAUCAGCAUGUCGCGGUGAAUGCGUUCCCGGGCCUU
rnacentral:rRNA from 1 species